ensembl:lncRNA
AAUGAAGUGAAAUUGUAGAGAAGUGAACAAAUCAACAAGGAUCUCAGGAGACUGACUCCUGAGUCAUAUUUACCCAUCUGGUUUUCUAGGAGCUAGAGCCUCACAAAGAAGUGAUAAUUGACAGAGGGAAAGCUAAAGAACAACAACUACAGAAGUAGAGAAACCAAGAAACUAAAAGAGGGAUUGUGUGAAGGAGAUUUGAGGAGAGUUAAAGACAAGAGGUAUAUAGAAAAAAGAAUUAAAAUCAAGAUCUGCACUCCCAUGAUCAUUACACCAUUAUUUACAACAAUCAAGAUACAGAAACAACCUAAACACCCAGAAAUGGAUGAGUAGAUAGAUAAAAUGUAUAAAUGCACA